AAGUCGUAACAAGGUUUCCGUAGGUGAACCUGCGGAAGGAUCAUUAACCCCCCCGUGAACCUUCAUCCUGCUCUUGUAACCCGCGUAGUUCGCAAUCUCUGAUAAAUCAUAGCCCGGAUAGUUGUAGUGAUUCAGACCUCUGGCUACGUGCGAACAUUGGAACAGUUACAAUCGAGCGGUAGUUCUAUAGGCAAUGUUUCCCCAAGCAGUCAGUGUCGGAAAGUGUCAUUGAUUGUGCAAGGAUAGCGUUUCUACGAUUCCUGUAGACCGUACACUCGGGCAGGAACUUUGCCAAAGCCCUAAUAACCCCACAGUUUAAUGUGAAGCUCAAUGUAAUACAUUGGGUAAAAACACCGAACAACUGUUAACAAUGGAUAUCUUUGUUCUC
rnacentral:misc_RNA from 1 species